GCUGGCGGCGUGCCUAACACAUGCAAGUCGAACGAGAAAGUGGAGCAAUCCAUGAGUACAGUGGCGUACGGGUGAGUAACACGUGACUAACCUACCCUCGAGUGGGGAAUAACUUCGGGAAACCGAGGCUAAUACCGCAUAACAUCUACGGAUCAAAUGCGCAAGCAGCUUGAGGAGGGGGUCGCGGCUGAUUAGCUAGUUGGCGGGGUAACGGCCCACCAAGGCAAUGAUCAGUAGCCGGCCUGAGAGGGCGCACGGCCACACUGGAACUGAAACACGGUCCAGACUCCUACGGGAGGCAGCAGUGGGGAAUUUUGCGCAAUGGGGGAAACCCUGACGCAGCAACGCCGCGUGGGGGAUGAAGCCCCUUGGGGUGUAAACUCCUUUCGAUCGGGACGAUUAUGACGGUACCGGAUGAAGAAGCACCGGCUAACUCUGUGCCAGCAGCCGCGGUAAUACAGAGGGUGCAAGCGUUGUUCGGAAUUAUUGGGCGUAAAGGGUGCGUACGCGGUGCGGUAAGUCUUCUGUGAAACCUC
rnacentral:rRNA from 1 species